CGUACACAAAAGCGCAUGUGCUGUGAGCUCGAUGAGUAGGGCGGGACACGUGAUAUCCUGUCUGAAUAUGGGGGGACCAUCCUCCAAGGCUAAAUACUCCUGACUGACCGAUAGUGAACCAGUACCGUGAGGGAAAGGCGAAAAGAACCCCGGCGAGGGGAGUGAAAAAGAACCUGAAACCGUGUACGUACAAGCAGUGGGAGCACCCUUCGGGGUGUGACUGCGUACCUUUUGUAUAAUGGGUCAGCGACUUAUAUUCUGUAGCAAGGUUAACCGAAUAGGGGAGCCGGAGGGAAACCGAGUCUUAACCGGGCGUUAAGUUGCAGGGUAUAGACCCGAAACCCGGUGAUCUAGCCAUGGGCAGGUUGAAGGUUGGGUAACACUAACUGGAGGACCGAACCGACUAAUGUUGAAAAAUUAGCGGAUGACCUGUGGCUGGGGGUGAAAGGCCAAUCAAACCGGGAGAUAGCUGGUUCUCCCCGAAAGCUAUUUAGGUAGCGCCUCGUGAAUUCAUCUCCGGGGGUAGAGCACUGUUUCGGCUAGGGGGCCAUCCCGGCUUACCAACCCGAUGCAAACUGCGAAUACCGGAGAAUGUUAUCACGGGAGACACACGGCGGGUGCUAACGUCCGUCGUGAAGAGGGAAACAACCCAGACCGCCAGCUAAGGUCCCAAAGUCAUGGUUAAGUGGGAAACGAUGUGGGAAGGCCCAGACAGCCAGGAUGUUGGCUUAGAAGCAGCCAUCAUUUAAAGAAAGCGUAAUAGCUCACUGGUCGAGUCGGCCUGCGCGGAAGAUGUAACGGGGCUAAACCAU
rnacentral:rRNA from 1 species